rnacentral:rRNA from 1 species
UACGGAGGGUGCAAGCGUUAUCCGGAAUUACUGGGCGUAAAGGGCGUGUAGGUGGCUUUAUAAGUCAUAGGUAAAAACACUAAGCUUAACUUAGAUGAGGCCUAUGAAACUAUAAGACUAGAGUAUAGGAUAGGAAGAUGGAAUUAUUACUGUAGCGGUGGAAUGCGUAGAUAGUAAUAGGAAGGCCAAUGACGAAGGUAAUCUUCUGGACUAAUACUGACACUGAGGCGCGAAAGCUAGGGGAGCAAACAGG